UACGUAGGCAGCGAGCGUUGUUCGGAGUUACUGGGCGUAAAGAGUGCGUAGGCGGUUUUCUAAGUUUGGUGUGAAAUCUCCCGGCUUAACUGGGAGGGUGCGCCGAAAACUGGAAGGCUUGAGUAUGGGAGAGGUAAGCGGAAUUCCUGGUGUAGCGGUGAAAUGCGUAGAUAUCAGGAGGAACACCUGCGGUGUAGACGGCUUACUGGACCAUAACUGACGCUGAGGCACGAAAGCGUGGGGAUCGAACAGG
rnacentral:rRNA from 1 species